UACGUAGGUGGCGAGCGUUGUCCGGAUUUACUGGGCGUAAAGAGCGCGCAGGCGGUCGUUCAAGUCGCGUGUGAAAGCCCCCGGCUCAACUGGGGAGGGUCACGCGAUACUGAUCGACUCGAAGGCAGGAGAGGGUAGUGGAAUUCCCGGUGUAGUGGUGAAAUGCGUAGAUAUCGGGAGGAACACCAGUGGCGAAGGCGACUACCUGGCCUGUUCUUGACGCUGAGGCGCGAAAGCCAGGGGAGCAAACGGG
rnacentral:rRNA from 1 species